rnacentral:lncRNA from 1 species
UUUCAAUUUUCGUGCCGAUGUGAUUCUAUGCUAUUUGGCACUUUAAACAAGUCCUAAAUGUUGUUUUAAACUUGUUACAACAUUCAAUUUGAAGCUAGAUUCAUCUAUGUGCAAAAUAGCAUAUUCAAACCUCAUUUUUUAGUAAAAUUAGGAAGUAGAAGGGUGAAUCUGGUAAACAGUUUGCUUUUGAACCCAAUUAGAGUUCAAACAAGUUUAAAUUGAUGAACUAAAGUUUUUGAAUGUAUUACUAAAGUGUUAGAAUCACUUGUGCACGAAUUCACUUUUAGAACCACCAAUCUUGGCUCAAUUCUUUUGGUGCAUAGCUGAAAAAACUUGGUUUCAAUCUACAUUUCAAUUUUCUUGCUUUCCUAAUCUGUUCUAGAACCAUUCCUAGGAUCUAAUUGUGUGCCUCCUUCUAGAACUAUUUAUACUAAUUUUGAGUGUUGCAUUAACUUUGAUUAGGUGGUCCAAAACUGGAUUGGUUUAC